rnacentral:misc_RNA from 1 species
CGCAGGCCACGCUCAGUUACGGUAUUAUCUCAAUUUUGCACACAUUUAUCAUGACCAGACCUAACUUCUUCAUUAUUCUCCUUCUGCCCUUGGUAUUUUCCCGGAAUGACCAUUUUUUCCAAUUAGCGGACGGUGGGAAGCGAAGAAUCCACAUCGAGGAUGAUCUCGAUGACGUGAUUGACGACGAGGAGGACGAGGCCUGGAAACAGUGGGGCAAGAAAUCAACGCCGUCUUCCGAUGAGUUUGAUCCACCGCCUUCCGAUUUGUCCAACAUGGAAAUGUCGCAGAUCCAGGAGUUGAUGAGGAAGCAGCAUUUCGGGCCGGUUUUUGGCU